rnacentral:rRNA from 1 species
CGUGUAGGCGGUGCGGUAAGUGAGAUGUGAAAUCCCUCGGCUCACCCGAGGAUCUGCAUCUCAUACUGCUGCGCUUGAGUACGGGAGAGGAUGAGGGAAUUCCUGGUGUAGCGGUGAAAUGCGUAGAUAUCAGGAGGAACACCGGUGGCGAAAGCGCUCAUCUGGCCCGAUACUGACGCUGAGGCGCGAAAGCUAGGGGAGCAAACG